rnacentral:rRNA from 1 species
AGGACGAACGCUGGCGGCGUGCCUAACACAUGCAAGUCGAACGGGGAUUUGUUUCGGCAGAAUCCUAGUGGCGAACGGGUGAGUAACGCGUAGGCAACCUGCCCCCCGGAUUGGGACAACACCCCGAAAGGGGUGCUAAUACCGGAUACGAAGAUAACACCGCAUGGUGAUAUUUUGAAAGAUGGCCUCUAUUUAUAAGCUAUCGCCGGGGGAUGGGCCUGCGUCCGAUUAGCUGGUUGGUGGGGUAACGGCCUACCAAGGCGACGAUCGGUAGCCGGUCUGAGAGGAUGAACGGCCACAUUGGGACUGAGACACGGCCCAGACUCCUACGGGAGGCAGCAGUGGGGAAUCUUCCGCAAUGGGCGAAAGCCUGACGGAGCAACGCCGCGUGGGUGAGGAAAGUUCUUCGGAACGUAAAGCCCUGUUGUACAUGACGAACGUGUAUCCUAUCAACAGCGGGAUACAAUGACGGUAGUGUACGAGGAAGCCACGGCUAACUACGUGCCAGCAGCUGC